AUCGCUUCUCGGCCUUUUGGCUAAGAUCAAGUGUACAGAGAGUACAGUACUGAGUACUGCUUGUGUGCCAGGGAUUGUUUCCUGAGGGCUUUCUUUUCUUUCUUUCUUUCUUUUUUUUUUUUUGAGACAGAGUCUUGCUCUGUCACGCAGGCUGGAGUGCCAUGUGGCGUGAUCUUGGCUCACUGCAACCUCC